rnacentral:rRNA from 1 species
GUAGGGGGCUAGCGUUGUCCGGAAUCAUUGGGCGUAAAGAGCGUGUAGGCGGCCCGGUAAGUCCGCUGUAAAAGUCGGGGGCUCAACCCUCGAAAGCCGGUGGAUACUGUCGGGCUAGAGUACGGAAGAGGCGAGUGGAAUUCCUGGUGUAGCGGUGAAAUGCGCAGAUAUCAGGAGGAACACCGAUUGCGAAGGCAGCUCGCUGGGACGUGACUGACGCUGAGACGCGAAAGCGUGGGGAGCAAACAGGAUUAGAUACCCUGGUAGUCCACGCUGUAAACGAUGGGCACUAGGUGUGGGGGGUGUCGACUCCCUCCGUGCCGAAGCUAACGCAUUAAGUGCCCCGCCUGGGGAGUACGGCCGCAAGGCUAAA